rnacentral:hammerhead_ribozyme from 1 species
AUGUAGCUGACGAGCCUCAUAUAGGACAAAACGCGCGUCCUGCAU